rnacentral:lncRNA from 1 species
UUAUCAUGACCCAUAUGUGUUAAGAAAAUAUUUUUGGAAUUUUUGGAUAUCAAAAAGUAUUUAAAAUGAAUUAAAAACUAUUAAAAAUAAAAUAAUUCACAAAAAAUAUUAAAUGAAGUCACAAAAAUAAUUAAAAAUCAGAUUAUGAAACUAGAUUUUUCAAGAAAUUUUUUGCCAUUGGUCUCAUAUUUUUGUGACUUCAAAUAAAAUAGUUAUGAAUUUUUGAAAUUAAAAGG